UACGAAGGGGGCUAGCGUUGUUCGGAAUUACUGGGCGUAAAGCGCACGUAGGCGGACAUUUAAGUCAGGGGUGAAAUCCCGGAGCUCAACUCCGGAACUGCCUUUGAUACUGGGUGUCUUGAGUGUGGAAGAGGUGAGUGGAAUUCCGAGUGUAGAGGUGAAAUUCGUAGAUAUCGGGUAGAACACCAGUGGCGAAGGCGGCCACCUGGACGGACACUGACGCUGAGACGCGAAAGCGUGGGGAGCAAACAGG
rnacentral:rRNA from 1 species